AACGAACGCUGGCGGCAUGCCUAACACAUGCAAGUCGAACGAGACCUUCGGGUCUAGUGGCGCACGGGUGCGUAACGCGUGGGAACCUGCCCUUAGGUUCGGAAUAACUCCCCGAAAGGGGUGCUAAUACCGGAUAAUUUCUUCGGACCAAAGAUUUAUCGCCUUUGGAUGGGCCCGCGUUGGAUUAGCUAGUUGGUAGGGUAAAAGCCUACCAAGGCGACGAUCCAUAGCUGGUCUGAGAGGAUGAUCAGCCACACUGGGGCUGAGACACGGCCCAGACUUCUACGGGAGGCAGAAGUGGGGAAUAUUGGACACUGGGCGAAAGCCUGAUCCAGCAAUGCCGCGUGAGUGAUGAAGGCCUUAGGGUUGUAAAGCUCUUUUACCCGGGAUGAUAAUGACAGUACCGGGAGAAUAAGCUCCGGCUAACUCCG
rnacentral:rRNA from 1 species